CGGACGUGCGGUCCCAGGUGUUUCUAUCACUCCCGGACGUGCGGUCCCACCCGAUUAUAUUUCACGUAUUAUCAUAUACUGCCACAUACAAGCAAUUUAGGGUUAGGUUUAGGGUUAGGUUUAGGGUUAGGGUUAGGGUUAAGGUUAGGGUUAGGUUUAGGGUUAGGGUUAAGGUUAGGGUUAGAAACAAAAAACUAACAUCAACAAGAUAACUGGCUCCGUCAUAUGGCGGUGGUACCGAUAGUCUGGCUAGUGGGAGCGAGAUGAAAUGGGAGCGUCCUGAGAUGGGAGCGUCAAUCUGGGAAUCGUACACCGCUUCCCCGGCCGUGCUGAGGAUGAAGACAUUCGCAAGAUAUGGAUUAAAAACGUACACCGAAAGGACUUUGCCCCCAAACAAGUAUUCAAUGGUGUGUGGAGUACACUUCCCUGACGGCAGACCAACGCAGGAACACCCAUAUCCCAUAAUAUGGGAUAUGAAUAUAGUAAAGCACCAUCAUGUGGAAGACCACCCACAAAGAGGAGAUGUCUCCAGCCCCCAACAGAGAGACCAUGUGAUGAGCCUCCUGUGACAAAUUCUGAUACCGAAGUAGGGCAUAGCUUGGAGGAUAGUCUGUCUCCACACCAAUGUGAUGUUGGCACUCAGUGGCCAGAGCGUAGUGAUCAUGAUUAUUGUUCGAUGAAGUCAACAAAAGAUGCAAGCACACAAACAGAUCCUACACCAUCACUGUCAGCUCAUGACAUGGAUGAUAAAGUGUCAACAUUUUACAUUGGACUAGACAUCAUCAGCUUUUGGCAACUUUUGAACACCAUCAUUGGCUUUCUUCCACAGUCGAAGACGUUCAAAUUAACAGUCCAUGAACAGCUACUGCUGGUCCUAAUGAGGGUUCGGCUUGG